rnacentral:rRNA from 1 species
UACGUAGGGUGCAAGCGUUGUCCGGAAUUAUUGGGCGUAAAGAGCUCGUAGGCGGUUUGUUGCGUCGGCUGUGAAAUCCCCGAGGCUCAACCUCGGGUCUGCAGUCGAUACGAGCAAACUAGAGUGUUGCAGGGGAGACUGGAAUUCCUGGUGUAGCGGUGAAAUGCGCAGAUAUCAGGAGGAACACCGGUGGCGAAGGCGGGUCUCUGGGCAACAACUGACGCUGGAGGAGCGAAAGCGUUGGGGAGCGAACAGG